rnacentral:rRNA from 1 species
UAGCCCUAAACGAUGCGCGUUAGGUGUAUCGGUGACCACGAGUCACCGAGGUGCCGAAGGGAAACCGUGAAACGUGCCGCCUGGGAAGUACGGUCGCAAGGCUGAAACUUAAAGGAAUUGGCGGGGGAGCACCACAACGGGUGGAGCUUGCGGUUUAAUUGGAUUCAACGCCGGAAAUCUUACCGGGACCGACAGCAACAUGAAGGCCAGGCUGAAGACUUUGCCGGAUUAGCUGAGAGGAGGUGCACGGCGUAGUCGUGU